GACGAACGCUGGCGGCGUGCCUAAUACAUGCAAGUCGAACGCUGAAGGAGGAGCUUGCUUCUCUGGAUGAGUUGCGAACGGGUGAGUAACGCGUAGGUAACCUGCCUGGUAGCGGGGGAUAACUAUUGGAAACGAUAGCUAAUACCGCAUAAGAUUGACUAUUGCAUGAUAGUCAGUUAAAAGGUGCAAUUGCAUCACUACCAGAUGGCCCUGCGUUGUAUUAGCUAGUUGGUGGGGUAACGGCUCACCAAGGCGGCGAUACAUAGCCGACCUGAGAGGGGGAUCGGCCACACUGGGACUGGGACACGGCCCAGACGCCUACGAGAGGCAGCAGUAGGGAAUCUUCGGCAAUGGACGGAAGUCUGACCGAGCAACGCCGCGUGAGGGAAGAAGGGUUUCGGAUCGUAAAGCUCUGUUGUAAGAGAAGAACGAGUGUGAGAGUGGAAAGUUCACACUGUGACGGUAUCUUACCAGAAAGGGACGGCUAACUACGUG
rnacentral:rRNA from 1 species